rnacentral:lncRNA from 1 species
UGCAGAGAGAGAGGGAUAAAGCUGGAGGCACAGAGAUAGAAAAUAUUGAGGUAUGCAUAGAUACAAAGGCAGAGAAGUGAGAAGGACCAGACACCAGGAGAAGAGACACAGAAAGGAGAAGCUCCAAGUCAGACCUCAAUGACAAAUGACCUCAUCCUUAGCUCUUUGCUGAAGAUGAAAGGAAGUUACUGAAUGGAGACCUACCUGCAUCACCUGGAGUGAUGUUGUGGAUGGUGAGCUUGGACACCGAAGUCA